AAGGAGCUUGCUCCUCUGACGUUAGCGGCGGACGGGUGAGUAACACGUGGGUAACCUACCUAUAAGACUGGGAUAACUUCGGGAAACCGGAGCUAAUACCGGAUAAUAUUUUGAACCGCAUGGUUCAAUAGUGAAAGAUGGCUUUGCUAUCACUUAUAGAUGGACCCGCGCCGUAUUAGCUAGUUGGUAAGGUAACGGCUUACCAAGGCGACGAUACGUAGCCGACCUGAGAGGGUGAUCGGCCACACUGGAACUGAGACACGGUCCAGACUCCUACGGGAGGCAGCAGUAGGGAAUCUUCCGCAAUGGGCGAAAGCCUGACGGAGCAACGCCGCGUGAGUGAUGAAGGUCUUCGGAUCGUAAAACUCUGUUAUUAGGGAAGAACAUACGUGUAAGUAACUGUGCACGUCUUGACGGUACCUAAUCAGAAAGCCACGGCUAACUACGUGCCAGCAGCC
rnacentral:rRNA from 1 species